GAUGAACGCUGGCGGUAUGCUUAACACGUGCAAGUCGAACGGACUCUUCGGAGUUAGUGGCGGACGGGUGAGUAACGCGUGAGAAUCUGGCUUUGGGUUCGGGACAACCACUGGAAACGGUGGCUAAUACCGGAUGUGCCGAGAGGUAAAAGAGAAAUUGCCUGAAGAUGAGCUCGCGUCUGAUUAGCUAGUUGGUGAGGUAAAGGCUCACCAAGGCAGCGAUCAGUAGCUGGUCUGAGAGGAUGACCAGCCACACUGGGACUGAGACACGGCCCAGACUCCUACGGGAGGCAGGAGUGGGGAAUUUUCCGCAAGGGGCGAAAGCCUGACGGAGCAGUACCGCGUGAGGGAAGAAGGCUCUUGGGGUGUAAACCUCUUUUCUUAGGGAAGAACAAAAUGACGGUACCUAAGGAAUCAGCAUCGGCUAACUCCGUG
rnacentral:rRNA from 1 species